rfam:Tursiops truncatus cont1.352190, whole genome shotgun sequence.
GAGAGACUGUGGAUUUACAUCGCAGACGCUGUCACACUGGGCCAGGAGCAGCUGCCGUUGCAGAAUCUAGACACGUACUUUCCCCCCCUUCCUCCUUCUCCUUCUUGGAGUUGGUUGGAAGAGAAAUCGGGGAGGUGAGGGGGCAG